UUCCGGUUGAUCCCGCCGGAGGCUACCGCUAUUGGAGUUCGAUUAAGCCAUGCGAGUCGAGAGUCUUAGGGACUCGGCGCACCGCUCAGUAACACGUGGGUAACCUGCCCUGUGCUGGGGAAUAACCUCGGGAAACUGAGAAUAAUGCCCCAUAGUUCACUACGCCUGGAACGGUGGGUGGAUCAAAGCUCCGGCGGCACAGGAUGGGCCUGCGGCGUAUCAGGUUGUAGGGGGUGUAACGUACCCUCUAGCCUUCAACGCGUACGGGUUGUGGGAGCAAUCGCCCGGAGAUGGAUUCUGAGACACGAAUCCAGACCCUACGGGGUGCAGCAGGCGCGAAAACUUCACACUGCAGGAAACUGUGAUGAGGGAAUUCCAAGUGGCUAGACAAAGUCUAGUCUUUUUGUAACUUUUAAUCGGUUACAGAAUAAGGGGUGGGAAAGACCGGUGCCAGCCGCCGCGGUAAUACCGGCACCUCAAGUGGUCGUCGCUUUUAUUGGGCCUAAAACGUCCGUAGCCGGUCUGGUGCAUUCGUGGGUAAAUCAACCCGCUCAACGGGUUGAAUUCUGCGAGCACGGCCAGACUUGGGACCGGGAGAGGUGUGGGGUACUCUCAGGGUAGGGGUAAAAUCCUGUCAUCCUGAGAGGACCACCUGUUGCGAAGGCGCCACACUAGAACGGAUCCGACGGUCAGGGACGAAACCUAGGGGCACGAACCGGAUUAGAUACCCGGGUAGUCCUAGGUGUAAACGCUGUGGACUUGAUGUUGGGGGCGCUCCGAGCGCUUUCAGUGUCGAAGCGAAGGUGAUAAGUCCACUGCCUGGGGAGUACGGUCGCAAGGCUGAAACUUAAAGGAAUUGGCGGGGGAGCGCUGCAACCUGAGGAUUGUGCGGUUUAAUUGGAUUCAACGCCGGG
rnacentral:rRNA from 1 species